rnacentral:lncRNA from 1 species
GUAAAAUUUAUUAUCCUAGUAAAUUAGUAAUGAUAAUAAAGAACUCUCAUAAUAAAAAUAAGGGGAAACUUGAUAUAAGUCCAAUUUUUUUAGCCAAUAGUAGAAAUAGUCCAAUUUAUUAAAAUAAGUCCAAUUCUUUAAAUUUAAUUAUUUAAUUAUCAAUAAUUAUCUAUUCAAUAAUAAGAUUUAUUAUAAAAAUCAAAUUUCUUCCUAAUUAUCUCUUUGAUUAUUAUUAUUAUUAUUAUUUUGUUAUUUCUUGUUCUUCCUCCCUCUUUAAACCUCAUUUAUAGAUUUUAUUUUUAAAUUUUAUAAUCAGCCUAUAUCACAGGUUAAUUAUUUUUAUGUAUCUAUAUGACAA